GUCCUUUGAGAUUAUGGACGAGCAGUCUCUAGGGAAUCAUAACCAUACAUUUAUCGUAAACCAUCAGCACUUUUAUUUACAACAUGAUUUUGUAUGAUACAGGGAAAAAGUCAUUUGAGAUAUAAUUCCGAACACAGUCGUAUCAUGUGCAGUUGAAUUAGAUCAACAUAAUGAAUUCUCUAGCUUUCAAUGAUGACGGCAAGGCUAGUUAGUCAUCCACCUGUAUCAAGUAACAACCGGUUCUGGGGUUCACUAGAAACGAACGAUGCAAGGCACGGUCUUUGGAAAUGGCGUGUCCGUUAAGAUUACACAGCGGCGUACUGUCUGUACUGAAGACGUAGCCUUGACCAGGAAAAAAGUGUCAUUGUCGGAUACCCCUGCCUUGAGGUGAAACCUGAACGCAUCUGCCACGCAGCAACCGUUCGAACCAGCAAUGUCGUUUCUUCAGCACAGAGCAAUACAUGUCAUGCGUGUCGAAGAUGAUAGCUGCAUAAUGGCGCACCAACAUGACCAAAUUAACCAACCAUCACCAGUUCAAAUCAGGAGCACAUUUGAAUCUCCUUCCUUCUGGUGUUUACCUUCCCCAGUCUAAUAUCCGAUGUAGUUUAUGCCUAAUGCUGUGAGAUUGUCCAUACUAAGCGAGCAAAGUAACCGGUCGCACACUGGGCGGUGUUGACAUUAAUAACUACUCGGAAAAUUGCACGUCACCACUUUUAUUAAUUACAAAGAUAAUUUCUCAGUAGAAGUGGAUUUUUCGCAAAUAUGCUCAAAAGGUUGAAAUAUUAUUGUCAUCGUUCACGCUCGACACAAGCAAAGGACAGAUUCGAUCUUGCGGUUGCAUAACUAUAUCGCUGGAAAACCGUUCUGUUCAAAGAAAUUUAAUGAACUACAACACUAAAUUCUCGGAACAUGCAAUCAUGAGUAAAACAUUGGUCUUCCGUUCGAGAAAGAUUAGAAACAGUUUGUCACCAGAAAAUUGCUAAUUGGAACAUUUUUUUUCUCUAAGAACCCUGCAACGAUUUAAGGUGAACGGAGCGUCCCGUUGUACUGUCCAUUCAGCGAAGAACCAACGGUAUUCAUAUUACCCAAGAAUGACUCACUCUGCCCCAGAGCUAAUGGACCACGGACUGCCUAGCAACGGACAAUGACGUCAUGAGGGAAGACUUCCGCUGCCAUGGCAACCGGAAACGGUCGAGAGGGCCUUGGGAACCGUCUCUGCUUUCACAGUGCGCUUCAAAGAAAUCGGGGGGAGAAGGGGAAGGCCGUGUGCUACAGUCAUGAUAGGGAGAGCAUUCUCUCCUGCUAGCUCCUCUCGCUGCAUGCUUUUUUUUCCCUCUUUCUUGAGCCAUCUCACUUUCAUGGCGCAACAACAAUCGGAAUUAUGAAUGGCGCGCCCGCGUGAAAGGGAUGAGUUCCGUAUUUCUUGUCUUCAUUCUUCCUUUUGAAAGCCGGAAACGGUUGAAACUUGGCCGAACUUAUCUAUAUUUGACUACAAAGACGCUUCUGGAGCGCCACUCUAAAAUUAGGGACAGUUCGGGAUUUGCAUGUAAUUGGUGUUAUUUUAAAAUGGGUUAUGAUAAGCUUGGUUUUGUUCGCUUAAAGGGACGUUUCUUGCCAUAAAGGAUCACAGCAAUUAGAAUGAAUACACAGAUGAUUGAUUGGUUAAAGUGUUAACUGACAAAUUUUUGCAAAAAGUGCUGGGGGUAGGACAUGCAGACUGUUCUCACGCGACGAGGCAGGUCACGAUAUACGGAAUGCUAGCCAUCAUUGACCAAAAUGAAAUUAUUAUGGGUAUUUGAAAUUAACGGUUUGCUUGGUAUAUCCAAAGCUAAUCUAGUAGAGGUCUUGCAUUAUUAUCGUGAAUUGUGGGCUGAAUUGGAAUUGUUUAUCGCCCAAUACGGUCGAUUCACAAGAGUGCGCCUCCAAGAG